rfam:Trichobilharzia regenti genome assembly, scaffold: TRE_scaffold0012871
AUCCAGAUGACGAGUAUCAAAUAGGACGAAAUGCGCAUCCUGGAU